CUGUAUGGUGACAGAGGAAGGCUGUGGUUAUUUGUCUUCAGCUCUGAGUUCAAACCCCUCACACCUGAGAGAGCUGGAUCUGAGCUACAAUCACCCAGGACCAUCAGAAGUCCAGCUGCUCCAACACAAACUGGAGGAUCCAAACUAUAAACUGGAGAAACUCAAUUUGGACCAUGGAGGACAUUUCAGGAUCGUUCCAGGACUGAAAAAAUAUGCCUUUGAUCUCACACUGGAUCCAAACACGGCACACACUCGUCUCAUUCUCUUUGAAGGGAACAAAAAACAAAAUGUGUUAAAGAGCAUCAGCCGUAUCUUGAUCAUCCAGAGAGAUUUGAGCGCUUUAAGCAGGUUCUGUGUGAAGAGAGAUUGACCGGAUGCUGUUACUGGGAGGUUGAAUGGAGCGGCUGGAGUCAUGUAGCAGUGUCAUAUAAAGGAAUCAACAAGAAAGAAGGAAGUGACAGUCGGUUUGGACUCAAUGACAAGUCCUGGAAUCUUUACUGUGGCAAUAAUAUUUAUUCUGUCUGGCAUAAAAAUAAGAGCACAAAUAUUCCUUCCCCUUCA